GUUGUAUGGUUAAGUGACUAAGCGUACACGGUGGAUGCCUUGGCAGUCAGAGGCGAUGAAAGACGUAGUAACUUGCGAUAAGCCCAGAUUAGGUAGUAACAACCAUUUGAGUCUGGGAUUUCUGAAUGGGGAAACCCACGUGCAUAAGCACGUAUCCUUACCUGAAUACAUAGGGUAAGGAGGCGAACCGGGGGAACUGAAACAUCUAAGUACCCCGAGGAAAAGAAAUCAACCGAGAUUCCGAAAGUAGCGGCGAGCGAAAUUGGACUAGCCCUUAAGCUUUACACGCGUUAGACGAACGGUCUGGAAAGUCCGACGAUACAGGGUGAUAGUCCCGUAGUUGACGACGUGUGUUCAGUGAAAUCGAGUAGGGCGGGACACGUGAUAUCCUGUCUGAAUAUGGGGGGACCAUCCUCCAAGGCUAAAUACUACUGACUGACCGAUAGUGAACCAGUACCGUGAGGGAAAGGCGAAAAGAACCCCUGUGAGGGGAGUGAAAUAGAACCUGAAACCGUGUACGUACAAGCAGUAGGAGCAGGCUUUGUCCUGUGACUGCGUACCUUUUGUAUAAUGGGUCAGCGACUUAUAUUCAGUGGCAAGGUUAACCAUCUAGGGGAGCCGUAGGGAAACCGAGUCUUAACUGGGCGUUCAGUCUCUGGAUAUAGACCCGAAACCAGGUGAUCUAGCCAUGGGCAGGUUGAAGGUUGAGUAACAUCAACUGGAGGACCGAACCGACUAAUGUUGAAAAAUUAGCGGAUGACUUGUGGCUAGGGGUGAAAGGCCAAUCAAACCUGGAGAUAGCUGGUUCUCCCCGAAAGCUAUUUAGGUAGCGCCUCGGACGAAUACUACUGGGGGUAGAGCACUGUUAAGGCUAGGGGGUCAUCCCGACUUACCAACCCUUUGCAAACUCCGAAUACCAGUAAGUACUAUCCGGGAGACACACGGCGGGUGCUAACGUCCGUCGUGGAGAGGGAAACAACCCAGACCGCCAGCUAAGGUCCCAAAUUACUACUAAGUGGGAAACGAUGUGGGAAGGCUCAGACAGCCAGGAUGUUGGCUUAGAAGCAGCCAUCAUUUAAAGAAAGCGUAAUAGCUCACUGGUCGAGUCGGCCUGCGCGGAAGAUGUAACGGGGCUAAGUAGUAAACCGAAGCUGCGGCAAUGCACUUUUGUGCAUUGGGUAGGGGAGCGUUCUGUAAGCGGUUGAAGGUGUGUGGUAACGCAUGCUGGACGUAUCAGAAGUGCGAAUGCUGACAUGAGUAACGAUAAAGGGGGUGAAAAACCUCCUCGCCGGAAGACCAAGGGUUCCUGUCCAACGUUAAUCGGGGCAGGGUAAGUCGACCCCUAAGGCGAGGCCGAAAGGCGUAGUCGAUGGGAAACGGGUUAAUAUUCCCGUACUUCUUACAAUUGCGAUGGGGGGACGGAGAAGGCUAGGUGGGCCUGGCGACGGUUGUCCAGGUUCAAGUGCGUAGGCUUAAGAGUUAGGUAAAUCCGGCUCUUUUUAAGGCUGAGACACGACGUCGAGCACCUACGGGUGUGAAGUCAUUGAUGCCAUGCUUCCAGGAAAAGCCUCUAAGCUUCAGAUUGUAAGGAAUCGUACCCCAAACCGACACAGGUGGUCGGGUAGAGAAUACCAAGGCGCUUGAGAGAACUCGGGUGAAGGAACUAGGCAAAAUGGUACCGUAACUUCGGGAGAAGGUACGCUCUCGACGGUGAAGUCCCUCGCGGAUGGAGCUAUUGAGAGUCGCAGAUACCAGGUGGCUGCAACUGUUUAUUAAAAACACAGCACUGUGCAAAAUCGUAAGAUGACGUAUACGGUGUGACGCCUGCCCGGUGCCGGAAGGUUAAUUGAUGGGGUUAGACUUCGGUCGAAGCUCUUGAUCGAAGCCCCGGUAAACGGCGGCCGUAACUAUAACGGUCCUAAGGUAGCGAAAUUCCUUGUCGGGUAAGUUCCGACCUGCACGAAUGGCGUAAUGAUGGCCACGCUGUCUCCACCCGAGACUCAGUGAAAUUGAAAUCGCUGUGAAGAUGCAGUGUACCCGCGGCUAGACGGAAAGACCCCGUGAACCUUUACUACAGCUUGGCACUGAACAUUGACCCUACAUGUGUAGGAUAGGUGGGAGGCUUUGAAGCACGUACGCCAGUAUGUGUGGAGCCGUCCUUGAAAUACCACCCUUGUAGUGUUGAUGUUCUAACGUCGACCCCUAAUCGGGGUUGCGGACAGUGCCUGGUGGGUAGUUUGACUGGGGCGGUCUCCUCCCAAAGAGUAACGGAGGAGCACGAAGGUGGGCUAAUCACGGUUGGACAUCGUGAGGUUAGUGCAAUGGCAUAAGCCCGCUUGACUGCGAGAAUGACAAUUCGAGCAGGUGCGAAAGCAGGUCAUAGUGAUCCGGUGGUUCUGAAUGGAAGGGCCAUCGCUCAACGGAUAAAAGGUACUCCGGGGAUAACAGGCUGAUACCGCCCAAGAGUUCAUAUCGACGGCGGUGUUUGGCACCUCGAUGUCGGCUCAUCACAUCCUGGGGCUGAAGUCGGUCCCAAGGGUAUGGCUGUUCGCCAUUUAAAGUGGUACGCGAGCUGGGUUUAGAACGUCGUGAGACAGUUCGGUCCCUAUCUGCCGUGGGCGUUGGAAGAUUGAAGGGGGCUGCUCCUAGUACGAGAGGACCGGAGUGGACGAACCUCUGGUGUUCGGGUUGUGUCGCCAGACGCAUUGCCCGGUAGCUAAGUUCGGAAUCGAUAACCGCUGAAAGCAUCUAAGCGGGAAGCGAGCCCUGAGAUGAGUCUUCCCUGAUACUUUAAGUAUCCUAAAGGGUUGUCGGAGACUACGACGUUGAUAGGUCAGGUGUGUAAGUGCUGUGAGGCAUUGAGCUAACUGAUACUAAUUGCCCGUGAGGCUUAACCAUACAACACCCAAGGGGUUU
rnacentral:rRNA from 1 species